GAUGAACGCUGGCGGCGUGCCUAAUACAUGCAAGUCGAGCGAACAGAUGAGGAGCUUGCUCCUCUGACGUUAGCGGCGGACGGGUGAGUAACACGUGGAUAACCUACCUAUAAGACUGGGAUAACUUCGGGAAACCGGAGCUAAUACCGGAUAAUAUAUUGAACCGCAUGGUUCAAUAGUGAAAGACGGUUUUGCUGUCACUUAUAGAUGGAUCCACGCCGCAUUAGCUAGUUGGUAAGGUAACGGCUUACCAAGGCAACGAUGCGUAGCCGACCUGAGAGGGUGAUCAGCCACACUGGAACUGAGACACGGUCCAGACUCCUACGGGAGGCAGCAGUAGGGAAUCUUCCGCAAUGGGCGAAAGCCUGACGGAGCAACGCCGCGUGAGUGAUGAAGGUCUUCGGAUCGUAAAACGCUGUUAUUAGGGAAGAACAAAUGUGUAAGUAACUAUGCACGUCUUGACGGUACCUGAUCAGAAAGCCACGGCUAACUACGUG
rnacentral:rRNA from 1 species